CCUACGGGUGGCAGCAGUGGGGAAUAUUGGUCAAUGGGCGCAAGCCUGACCCAGCAACGCCGCGUGAAGGAAGAAGGCUUUCGGGUUGUAAACUUCUUUUAUUGAGGACGAAACAAAUGACGGUACUCCAUGAAUAAGCCACGGCUAACUACGUGCCAGCAGCCGCGGUAAUCCGUCGGUGGCAAGCGUUCUCCGGGUGUACUGGUUGUAAAGGGCGUGUAGGUGGGACUGCAAGUCAGAUGUGAAAGCAAUGGGCUCAACCCAUAGCCUGCAUUUGACAAUGGAAGUCUUGAGUGAUGGAGAGGCAGGCGGAAUUCCGGGUGUAGCGGUGAAAUGCGUAGAUAUACCGAGGAACACCAGUGGCGAAGGCGGCCUACUGGACAUUAACUGACGCUGAGGCGCGAAAGCGUGGGGAGCAAACAGGAUUAGAUACCCUUGUAGUC
rnacentral:rRNA from 1 species